rnacentral:rRNA from 1 species
UGUAGGGUGCGAGCGUUAAUCGGAAUUACUGGGCGUAAAGGUGUGCGCAGGUGGCCGCGCAUGUCGAGUGUGAAAUCCCCGGGCUUAACUUGGGAAUUGCGCUCGAAACUACGUGGCUGGAGUGUGGCAGAGGGAGGUGGAAUUCCACGUGUAGCGGUGAAAUGCGUAGAGAUGUGGAGGAACACCAAUGGCGAAGGCAGCCUCCUGGGCCAACACUGACACUCAUGCACGAAAGCGUGGGGAGCAGACAGGAUUAGAUACCCUGGUAGUCCACGCCCUAAACGAUGGUGACUAGUUGUUGGGGGAGUUAAAUCCCUUAGUAACGCAGCUAACGCGCGAAGUCAUCCGCCUGGGGAGUACGGUCGCAAGAUUAA